GUCCUUUUUAGUGAGGAUUUGUCUUGAAAAAUUACUAAGAUCUUCACUCAGUGUCGUCAAUAAUGAUUGUGCUCCAAUGUACUCUGCGCUU